rnacentral:rRNA from 1 species
GACGAACGCUGGCGGCGUGCCUAAUACAUGCAAGUUGAACGCUGGAGAUCUAGCUUGCUAGAUCGAAGGAGUGGCGAACGGGUGAGUAAUACAUAAGCAACCUACCCACGAAGACUGGGAUAAUCUCUGGAAACGGGGACUAAUACCGGAUAGGUAAUCGGAAGGCAUCUUCUGGUUAUUAAAGGUUAAAAACACUGGUGGAUGGGCUUAUGGCGCAUUAGUUAGUUGGUGAGGUAACGGCCCACCAAGACGAUGAUGCGUAGCCGGCCUGAGAGGGUGAACGGCCACAUUGGGACUGAGACACGGCCCAGACUCCUACGGGAGGCAGCAGUAGGGAAUUUUCGGCAAUGGGGGCAACCCUGACCGAGCAACGCCGCGUGAGUGAAGACGGCCUUCGGGUUGUAAAGCUCUGUUGUAAGGGAAGAACGGUAGAUAGAGAAUAUCUAAGUGACGGUACCUUACCAGAAAGCCACGGCUAACUACGUGCCAGCAGCCGCGGUAAUACGUAGGUGGCGAGCGUUAUCCGGAAUUAUUGGGCGUAAAGGGUGCGUAGGCGGCCUGUUAAGUAAGUGGUUAAAUUGUUGGGCUCAACCCAAUCCAGCCACUUAAACUGGCAGGCUAGAGUAUUGGAGAGGCAAGUGGAAUUCCAUGUGUAGCGGUAAAAUGCGUAGAUAUAUGGAGGAACACCAGUGGCGAAGGCGGCUUGCUAGCCAAAGACUGACGCUCAUGCACGAAAGCGUGGGGAGCAAAUAGG